CUAAGGUUUCUAUUACCUUAGGAUCACAACACUAACCACUAGCUUCUAAGGUUUCUAUUACCUUAGCUCAAGCCUCUAUCUCUAGCUCAUAAGGGUUCCUCUACCCUAUCAUAGCUAACCACCCGACUCGGCUUCGAGUCAAUCAUCCGCGGAUAGUCCGCGCACUGGCUGCUCAACAGCCUACCGCACUCUCUCUGACUCAGCCUCCUAGCAGCGAAAUCGUCGCACACGCUGAACACGGCUCGAGCCACAAGACCUAACCAUCGGUGGCGAUCGCGUUGCACUUACCCAGCGAGAGCUCGAGACCUGACAUACCAUCUGGCGGCGAACGAGUCGCACCACACCCAACAACGGUCAUGUCAGACUCAGUCACCUGGAGGCACCCGCAUCGUACUUACC
rnacentral:lncRNA from 1 species